GCGUGAUAGACUCUAAUGUUUUAAAGAGCCAGGCAGGUGGAGUAAAUGAAUGAAGAAGGCUAAUUAUAAGAGAACAUAGAGCACAAGCACAAUGGAAGAAGGAAAAUUUCACGAUGCAAAUUUGCCCUGUGAAAAAUGUGUGAUCUGAUAUUUAGUGAUUUCAGAAGGAGGAUACAUCAAGACUUUGACAUUUUGGUGAGUAGACUACAAAAAGCCCGGCCAUUUCUUUACAAGAUGAGUUCUAGGAUCUUUUACAUUCUAAACAUCUGUUCUUCUCUGAGUAUAAUUUUUUCUUUUCUACAUUCAAACUUAUCCAAAGUAUGUUCUACCUAGGCUAAAAAUUGAUGGAAGACAUGGCAAUGAAAUGUAAAGAUUUUUUAUCCCAAUGCUAUAUUCAGGCGGUUCCCCCUUAACAGUUUCUUUCAAUCUGUUAACUUGAGUGACCAUUCCUCAGAUGGCCACAAGAUGGCAGCCUUGGCCUAACAGUAAGAGAAGGGUCCGCUCAAGAAGCCUUUGCUAGUUGUGAUGGUGCAAAAGGAGUCCAGAUACGGUUGUGUGUUUGCCUCUGCACCUCUGCGGUGUGGUCAACUGAUAUCCUUUCCACCACAGACAUUUCAUGAACAAAGCCUAGAGAGCUUAAAGAAAUCUUAAACAAUCCAGCCAUUCUGCACAGUUGCUCAGGCCAGUUUGCUGAUGUCAAUGCUGUGUGGAAGAGAAAUAAUUUUGUUAACAAAGGGAAUAUAUGUGUGCCAAGCCCCAUUUGUUAUCUGAAACUUUGUGGUCAGAGGUAAGAUUGAUGUGGAAGCUUAGAGACACAUUUGGAUGUUAUGAAAUAGGGUGUAAGGAGGUUUUACAAUGCUGAAAAUGUAAUUAAAUAUCACUGAAUGAUGUUCUAAUUAAUUAUCGCUGUAUGGUAGCCUUCAACAGGGUAGGGAUGUGUCUGUUUUGUUGAACAAUGUAUCCCUUGCACAUAAAAGGUUGCCACACAUUGA